rnacentral:rRNA from 1 species
AGGACGAACGCUGGCGGCGUGCUUAACACAUGCAAGUCACGGGGGCUCGCAAGAGCAACCGGCGAACGGGUGCGUAACACGUGAGCAACCUACCGAUUUGUGGGGGAUAGCCGGCCUAACGGCCGGGUAAUACCGCAUACGCUUUCCGGGUCUCCUGACCUGGGAAGGAAACCUCCGGGGCAAAUCGAGGGGCUCGCGGCCUAUCAGCUAGUUGGCGAGGUCACGGCUCACCAAGGCGACGACGGGUAGCU